GAUGAACGCUGGCGGCAUGCCUAAUACAUGCAAGUCGAGCGAGGCGGGGACGGGUGAGUAACACGUGGAUAACCUCCUAUACGACUGGGAUAACUUCAGGAAACCGGAACUAAACCGGAUCCUUAUUGAUGGAUCCGCGGUGCAUUGGCUAGUUGGUAAGGUAACGGCUUACCAAGGAAACGAUGCAUAGCCGACCUGAGAGGGUGAUCGGCCACACUGGAACGGAGACACGGUCCAGACUCCUACGGGAGGCAGCAGGGGGGAAUGUUGCGCAAUGGGCGAAAGCCUGACGGAGCAACGCCGCGUGAGUGAUGAAGGGCUUCGGAUCGUAAAACUCUGUUAUUAGGGAAGCGGUACCUAAUCAGAAAGCCACGGCUAACUACGUGCCAGCAGCCGCGGUAAUUC
rnacentral:rRNA from 1 species